rnacentral:rRNA from 1 species
AGGAUCAUUAUUGAAAUUAAACUUGAUAAGUUGUUGCUGGUUCUCUAGGGAGCAUGUGCACACUUGUCAUCUUUGUAUUUCCACCUGUGCACUUUUUGUAGGCCUGAUUAUCUCUCUGAAUGCUUAGCCAUUCAGGAUUGAGGAUUGACUUUCAGUCUCUUCCUUACAUUUUCGGGUCUAUGUUCAUUCAUAUACCCUAUGUAUGUUUAUAGAAUGUUGCUAAUGGGCCUUUGUGCCUACAAAUCUAUACAACUUUCAGCAACGGAUCUCUUGGCUCUCGCAUCGAUGAAGAACGCAGCGAAAUGCGAUAAGUAAUGUGAAUUGCAGAAUUCAGUGAAUCAUCGAAUCUUUGAACGCACCUUGCGCUCCUUGGUAUUCCGAGGAGCAUGCCUGUUUGAGUGUCAUUAAUAUAUCAACCUCUUUGGUUGGAUGUGGGUUUGCUGGCCUCUUAAGGUCAGCUCCCCUUAAAUGCAUUAGCGGACAACAUUUUGCCAACCGUUCAUUAGUGUGAUAAUUAUCUACGCUAUUGACGUGAAGCAUGGUUCAGCUUCUAACAGUCCAUUGACUUGGACAAAUUUCUUAUUAAUGUGACCUCAAAUCAGGUAGGACUACCCGCUGA